CAGUCGCGUCUGCUGGGACUCAGCCUUGCUUUUGCGUGGUGUACUUUCUAGUUGACGGGUCAGCAUCAAUUUUGACUGCUGGAAAAAGGCUUGGGGAAUGUGGCAGCUCCGGCUGUGUUAUAGCCCUUUGCCACAUACAGCGGUUGGGAUUGAGGAACUCAGCACGCCGCAAGGGCCGGGUUUCGACCACGUUCGUGCUUAGGAUGCUGGCAUAAUGGCUUUAAGCGACCCGUCUUGAAACCGGACCAAGGAGUCUAACAUGUGUGCGAGUGUU
rnacentral:rRNA from 1 species